AAGCAGAGCAGAAAUAUCAGAAAAACUUGAACUUAAAAGGCAAGAGUAAAACUGGGACUAAGGGAUUUACAGUUGUUAAAGACAUUAUUGCCACUAAAGAAAUGCUAAGGACAUAGCCCAGAGACAAUAAGAAAGAUGGCUGGAGGUCCCAAUCUCCAGCUAAAGAGAGAAAAAAUGAAAAUUUUCUUGAGAAGAGACCAGUGGAGAAUCCUUCUUACACAAAGGGGCCUAGGAAAUAUUUUCAACAUGCCCAGUUACCCUGAGGUUGCUGCAGUCAGGGUCCCUGGAGGCUUGGCUACUGCUCAAGAUGGCAGCAGACCUUGGUGUCAACCACCUGGUGCUGGUUCUGCAGGGAUGCAGGAGGCUGGACUUAAGUGGUUAUCGAGUCUUCCAAAAAGAUUUCAAAGGAAGUUCUGGAGGUCAGGCAAAGUAUAGCAGGGUCAGAGUCCCUGCAAGGCAGCCCCUGAGAAGUCAAAGUGUGGAGAUAUGAGGAGGAAGCCAAGGUUACAGUGAAGACCCCCAAGAUCAAGAAAUGUCAGUAACAGGGGACAUCAUCCUAGGAAAGUUGUAGGAAUUGAACAGAGACAAGCCAACAGAAAGACCACUUGCAACCAGCAAGGCCACCGGGGCAGAGCUACACAAGCCCUUUGGAGAGGACAUCAUGACUGUGCUCCAGAUGCCAGACACAGAACUUCAGGACUUGUUUGCCCAGCUGGAUUUUAGUCUUACUUUGAUCCUAUCCCUUCUUCCUGUGCUCCAAGUUUUGUGAAUGGAAGUGUUUACUCUGUACCAUUGUCUAUUGGAUACUUGUAAAUUGCUUUUAAUUUUGCAGGAGCUCACAAUAUGAGACUUCCUUAAGCCUCAGAACUGUGGAGACUAUGGGGAUUCUUGGGAAUGAAUUAAAUGUAUGUUGCAUUGUCAGACGAGUGGAGAUUUUGGGGGCCAGGGGCAGAAUGUUACGGAUUGGAUGUGAGAUGUUCCCAAAAAACUCAUGUGUGAGACAAUGCAAGAAGGUUUGGAGGAGAAAUGAUUGGGUUAUAGCCUUGACCUAAUCAGUAAAGUAAUGCCUGAUGGAAUUAACUGAUUGUUAACUGGAGGCAGGUGGAGUGUGGCUGGAGGAAGUGGUUCAUGGGGGUGUGGCUAUGGGGAAUAUAUUUUGUAUCUGGAGAGUGGAAUCUCUUUCCUUGCUUACUGAUCACCAUGUGAACUGCUUCUCUCUACCACACUCUUCCUCUAG
rnacentral:lncRNA from 1 species